rnacentral:tRNA from 1 species
GCACUGGUAGUUCAGUGGUAGAAUUCCCGCCUUCCACGUGGGAGACCCCUGUUCAAUUCCCAGCCAACGCA